UACGUAGGGCGCAAGCGUUGUCCGGAAUUAUUGGGCGUAAAGAGCUCGUAGGCGGUCUGUUACGUCCGCUGUGAAAACCCAGGGCUUAACCCUGGGCUUGCAGUGGAUACGGGUAGACUAGAGGCAGGUAGGGGAGAGUGGAAUUCCCGGUGUAGCGGUGAAAUGCGCAGAUAUCGGGAGGAACACCGGUGGCGAAGGCGGUUCUCUGGGCCUGACCUGACGCUGAGGAGCGAAAGCGUGGGGAGCGAACAGG
rnacentral:rRNA from 1 species